AGCGAACGCUGGCGGCGUGCCUAACACAUGCAAGUCGAGCGAGAAAGGGGUGGCAACACCCUGAGUAAAGCGGCGAACGGGUGAGUAACGCGUGGGCAAUCUACCUUCCAGUCUGGGAUAACCUUCCGAAAGGAGGGCUAAUACCGGAUGAUGUCCUGUUGGGGCAUCCUGAGGGGAGCAAAGGGGGCGGACCCGCAAGGGGCGUCUCGCUGGAGGAGGAGCCUGCGUCCGAUUAGUCAGUUGGUGGGGUAACGGCUCACCAAAGGCGACGAUCGGUAGCCGGCCUGA
rnacentral:rRNA from 1 species